rnacentral:rRNA from 1 species
AGCGGGAGAAUCCUGAAUUCGAAAGGGAAUGGACUUCGGUCCGAAAGGGAUUCAAGCCCACCGUCUGGCGUUGGCCCUGCCUCCAGUUGGUUCCGGACACCCGCAGCGAUUGGUUUCGUUUGCGGUGUUGUGCCUGGCUAUCACUCGGUUGCAGAUUGUUGUUUCCUGUUGGGCGGUGGGGUGCACUUCCCCCCUAGUAGAAAUGUCGCGACCCGUUGGGUGCCGGUCUUAAGGCCCGGGAUGGCAGACCGUGCAUUCCGUGGGGGAUCCCACGGGUGUGCGGACUCUCGGUGACCCGGCCGGCUGCCCGACGGUAUGACCAGAGGAGUCUAUCCGCUAACUGGGAAACACUAUGGCUGUGUAGCGUCCGGCCCGGUGCCAUCACGCGUGGGGAGUGAGGGGUAGCCCGUGCUUUGCACGGCCCCGACCCACAACGUUGGUUAUCCGGUGUCCUCGGACUGGAUGACUUCCGUCUGCGACGCCCACCUUCGGAUGGUCUCCC